rnacentral:lncRNA from 1 species
GCCCCAGGAGUCAGUGUGCUCUAUUUGUUGGACUGGACCAUUCGGUUUCUAAGUCUAAGGAGGGGUCUACAUUAAAUACGCCAGGGCUGUGGCAGGCGGCGUGUGAGUCCAGUCGCUGUCCUUCUUGGUUGCGAGUUGUGCGAGGUGGGGUGCUACUCUUACUGCGGUUUCUUGUCGGUGGUGUUUUGCUUCUUCCUGAUUUUGGAUUCUGCUAUUCUCGGUGGCUGCGUGUUUGGUGCAUGCUGUGGAUCUGUGGCCGCGUUGGUCCGAGUUACAGUUGGGGUCGUCGGCGACCGGUGCCGGAGCGGCGACCUACGCUGCCCGGAAUCGCCAGCUGCGUCCUCCCUGGGCUGCGUCGGCCCGGGUGCUCACCGGACUCGCCGCCUUCGACUCUUCGUCCUUCGUGUGUUCGUCGCAGUUUGGUAUGGGUCUCUCCAUUCUCCGAUUCAUGCAAUCUAUGGCUGAGGUGUUGAUGGUUUGCUAACAUUUGGUUCGUUCCCUGGUUGUGCGUUGUUUUCUUCUUUGUUUUUUCGCUUUAAGCAUUCCCUGGUUGUGGAUCAUAUCAUUUGUGAUUGGUUGGUGCAUGUGUUGCAUCAACAUCGAAGGAGAUGGAAUGAAAUACGCAAGGCAAAGGUAUAACCUAUAGGGCAUUUCAUUUCACCGGUCUAAAUUGAGUAGAGAAGUGCUUGAUCGGAUUUAGGAUAGAUAACCGUACUAUAAAGAGGGGAAAUCUUUAAUUGCAAUGGUUAUCUAGUGCCACUAAGUGUGAGUCUCUUUUGCAUAUGCAUUGCGCUUAGUGACGUGGUGAGAAUACUUGAGAAAACCCUAACAAUUAUUUGUGAAAAUGCUAACUUAAGUGCUCAAUUGUUUUUGGUACUUCGUGGGAAAGUUAGCACCUUAAAAAGGGGUUUUGAGUUGGAAAACCGAGCUAGUAGGCAUGCCCAAACAGCAAGGGGUCGAUCGGAGUUAUUCUCUACCCUACCUGGAUAUUCUGUUUUUGUGCUUGCAACAGAGAGGGGUCGAUCAGAAUUUUCAUUGCUCUACCUGGAUAUUUUCAUGGCCCUACCUGGAAAUUCCGAUUGAGCUCAGAUCUAACCCACGCCAACGGUCAAAAGUGUGUUUGCCUGGAAUUAUUUUCUACCCGCACUGGAAUUUCUCGCGAGGCUGAAUCUGACCGUUGGGAGCGCGAGCUGAGGUAUUUGGGGCUGCUGCUGCCCUUUUCCUCCUUACUUCUCUCCCCAUUUUCUCACUUUAGGAGAGCAAGCAAGUUAGGGUUCCUCCUCUCCUCUCUCUCUCCUAUGGAUUUGAGCUGAAAUUUCUUAGAGAGAUUGAGAGCCCUUUGUGGGUGUGGAUGAGAGGUUGCAGAUCCACAUUUUCCCUUUCCUCUCCCUCUCAUGCUUGGUGCUAUUUUUCAGUGAGGGAGUAAGAGCCUAGUGUGUGCAUUCGUGAUUUGCAUUUGGUGGCACUAGGAAAUCUUUGUGAUUGGGGAUUUCUUGUUACUCUUGGUGAUUGCCAUCACCUAGACGGUUUGGUGGAUUGUGACUCCGUUUGAAGCACGCGAGAAGAUUGUGCGGUGCUCCGGAGGAGGAUUUGUGAGGGGUACGGUGCUCACCCCGCGGGGAUCGCGAAGAGCAACUCUAGUAGAGCGAGACGCGAAGGGCGACAAGUGGUCCGGCCGGGUCAAGUGCUAGAGCUUGUGGCAAGCACUCCAAGUGGGAGAGUGUGACUUGCGGGUCACCACUAGCAAGAGGACCGGCGGCAACCUUGGAGCUUGUCUCAACGGGGACGUAGCUUGGUGGCAACCAAGUGAACCUCGGGAGAAAAUCAUCGUGUCAACAUUGUUCUUCCCGUUGGUUUGCAAGUCCCUAACACAAGCUUGUUUUUACAUUCAUAUACUUGUGCUUGUGUCGUUGCUCUUGUAAUUAGUUAGCUUGUGUAGCUAGAAGUAGUUCCCCUUGCGUGACUAAUUUGGUUUGUGUAACCUUGUUAGUCACAUUGCUUAGUUUGUGUAGCUAAGUAUUUUGCGCUCUCUAAUUUGGCAUUGGUUGCCUUGUUAUUGAGCUUUGCUAGUGAGCUUAAGAGCUUUGUGCUUUUGCUUACUAGUUGUGUAGGAGCUCCCGGGUUUGCAAAGUACUAGUGGCAUAGGUUUGUGUGACCUUGCUUCUAGAAUUGGUUAGGUGAGCUCUUGUUAAGGUAGCAUCUUGUUUGCUUGUUUAGGAUCUGUUACAAGGUUCUAGAGAACUUAGAUAGAGGGGUGUAGUCUUGGCUAGACCGAUUGUUUCAAUUACGCAUUUGUUUCGGUUAUCCGGCGUGAUAAGUUUUAGAAAGGACUAUUCACCACCCCUCUAGUCCACCAUCUCGAUCAUAAAGUGGUAUCAGAGCUAGGUCUCUCAUUUGUGGUCUUCACCGACCCGAGAGGAUGGCGGCUUAUGGGCUAGAUGAUUGUGAGACACACAUUUUUGAUGGUACAAACUUUGCACUUUGGAAAAAUCACAUGCUUGAUCAUUUUCGUGCAAAGGGACCUAAAUUUUGGUGGAUUGUCACUAAUGGUCUCACACACAACUUAGACCAUAAGAAUCUCACCAAAGCUCAAAAGGUUCUCUUUGAACUUGAUUGUGAAGCUUAUGAUUAUCUAAUAGAAUCUUUGAGAUUUGAGAUGUUUGAUAGGAUAAACUCCAAAGGAACCGCUUAUGAAAUGUGGGAGUCUAUCAAACACACCUUCGGUGGUUCCUCCACAUGGGAUGAUGGCAAGUUCAAAAAGGAGGAAUCAAAGGUGGAGAUACAUGAGGACGAUGAUGAUGCCACAAGUGAUGCAACCGAUGAUGCUACUCCAUGCACACUUGAUGGUGAAGCUGAUGGCUAUGAGAGUGAUGCUUCCACAAGCUCAUCUACUACAUCACCGCAUUGCUUCAUGUCACAUGGUGACACUAAGGUAUCUAUUGGUGAUGUGAUUGUUGAUUGUGAUGGUCCAAAUUUUGAGCUCAUUUGUAGACUCUCAAAAGCUUUAAGAAAUGAGAUGGCAAAAACAAGUAAAUUGAAAAAUGAAAACUCAUUUCUAAAGACCACAUGUGAACAACAAAAGCAUCUACUUUAUGUUACUACUUGUUCACAUGAGGAGAUAAAAUUGGCUCAUGAGGAACUUUGUGUUGCUCAUGAUAACUUGGUACAAGAUCAUGCAUUUCUCACUAAGAAGAUUUCUAAUGAAGAAAUUAAAACUAGUGAGAGCUCAUCACUUGGGUCAAAUGAUCAAUCAAAUAUUGUUACUAACCCUUGUCAUGUAGGCAAGAAGCAUGUAUCCACCUCUUGUGAUGAUUUAUUAUCUAUGCCAUGUUCUUCACAUAUAGAUGCCUGUUCUACUUCUAUAUCUUGUGAGACUAACCUUUUGAAAGAGAACAAUGAGCUUAAUGAACAAGUGAAGAAUUUGAGCAACAAGUUAGAGAGGUGCUACUACUCAAAAGUUACCUUUGAGCAUAUAUUGAAGACUCAAAGAAAUUAUGGUGACAAAUGUGGCCUUGGCUUCAAGAAGAAGAUGACAAAGGGCGAAAGAAAGCAAGAAAAGAGGAUGAAGAAGCUACUUCAAAAGAAGCUUUCUCACACCAUGUGCUAUCGGUGCUAUGAAGUGGGACAUCUUGCUAAUGGUUGCCCAAACAAAGAGAAGCUUAAGAAGAUGAAGGAAGAAGAUAGGCUAAAGAAUGUCAAGUGCUUCAAGUGCUGCACUUGGGGUCAUCUCACCUCAAUGUGCCCAACCAAGCAAUUGGUAAAGCAUCAAGUGAAGCCUCAACCAAAGCCACAAGUUAGGCAAGAAAAGACACCCCAAGAGCAAAUCAAGAUCAACCGUGAUGGUGAUGACUUGAUAAUGAAGAAGAAGAAAACAAGAAGGGGUGGAAGAGCAAGGCAUCCAAUGCAAAUCCAAGAUGCCAAGAUGAUGAGCAAGGAUGAUGGAUACUUUUCCUCGAGGUGUCCUACCAAGCUUGAGAAGAAGGUUCAAGCAACUCUCAAGAGGCAAGGCAAUAAGAAGCAACAUAUGAGCAAGGAAGAAAAGGCUCAAUCCAAAAGAAGUUGCUACUUAUGCCGGAAAAGGGGACACAUGGCUCAUUCAUGUUCCCUAGGUAACACUUCUAAGCCUAUUUCAAUUGAUAAUGCUAAUGUGCUUAGAAAGGAUGAUAAUGUACCUCUAUGGUUGCUAUUGCAAAACAUCCCGCUACUCAUACUAUGGCAUCGCCUAAGUAUGUUGCUCCUAACUUGAGAGGACCCAAACUAGUUUGGGUACCAUCAAAAAGUGGAUGAAUGUGUGUAGGUACCAUCGGCAUUGGAGGCUUAAUUCAAUUGAUCUUAUAUUAUUCAUCAUAUGAUUGAGUCAAGUAUUGAAGCCUAGUGCACAUCCAAACCCAAUGUCAUGACAAGAUAGUAAAGUCCAAAUGUGUUACAACAUACAAGUGUCAUAUUCAAGUUGUGGUGAUUUAUUGGAUUAUUUGAUAGCUUGCAAAUUGGAUGAUCAUGAGCUAACCAAGCUAUAUCUUUGUUGAUCACAUUCAUUUGGGUGCAUAUGAGUUGAUUGAAUUGGAUAUAUAUGCAAUAUUGCUUGCUAUGAGGUGUUUGAAUGGAUAAAUGCUUAGUAAUCAAGUUUGGAUUGAUUUGAGUUGGAUAAGUUCAUGAGAUGACUUUUAGUAAAUGGAUUGAAUUGAUAUAUGUCUUGUGAAAGUAUUCAAACAAGUCUUUGUCAAGUUUGAUUCAAAUUGAAGAAGUACAGCUCAAUUGCUUGACAUCUGUCCAAUAUUAAAAACUGAGCUUGCUGAGAUCAAGUCUGAGUUUGAGUAGACGAAUCUAUAUGGAAUGGCUUGAAAUUUGGUAUGCGUGCUGUACAUUUAUCAUAGAAGAUGCUGUAGAAAUUUCAUGAGAAUUGGAUGAGGGAUUCUUCAGUUUUGGAGUGGAUCUUAUCAGCUAUAGUGUAGCAGUUUUCAGCAUGUAGCAGUGGUGGAAGAAUUGAAAUCUGGUAGCAAUCUAGAAGUCAAAAGAAGCUCAAAUUUUUACAGCUGCUAAAUGACUUAGUGAAUCAUAUUUCCACCAGAUUUCGUGGUAUUUGGAUCUGUACAUUGUGAGAUAUGAGUUGUUCUUUGAAAGGUACAGAAUCUGCCAGAAAAGUGAUAAUCAUUGGAUUGAUCUAGAGUCACUUCAAUUGAAAGGUCCUCAAGUUGGAAAUAUGAUUAUAAGUGUUUCAGGCACAUAAUUUUGGUUUUGAAUUGAUCUAGAAGCAUGACAAGUAUUGAGUACAAGGCUAUUUGAUUGUGGAGUGUACUUGGUGUACACAUUUAGUACUCAAAUUGAAGAUCAAGAAUCAAACUCAAGAUGAAGAUGAAGUUUAAGAUCCAGUAACUAUUGGAGAUCAUUUGGUAGAAAGAAAAGGACUUAAACAAGUAGAAAGAAAAGGACUUAAAGAAGGAUUCAUGGUUACUCAUCACAUUAAGUCUGUCACUUGAAUCAAUCAAUCAAAGCAAUUCAAGUGAGUACCAAAAAUAGUUCUUUGGAGAAAGGUCACUUCUCCCUAUGUGAGGGGCUUGCAGCCCGAGGUGUGGUUUAACCAGGUGUGGUACUUGGAAGGCUAACAUAGAAGUGGUGAUCUAAAGGAUAUUUGAGAUGCUUAGUUGAAGCAAUCAAAAGGAUUGAUCAAGAAAGCAAGCAACACCCAAAAGAGAGCUAGUCAUGCUAUUUCAAGUGAUAUUCUUAUUAGUUCUCUCAUACAAGCAAUGAUCAAAAUAAGAAGCAAGCCAACCACAAUAAGAUAGUGCACUUGAUCAUAUUGGUGGUUCUCAAAUCAUAUGGGUGAAGAUUUGAUCUAUCAAUUGGUAUCUAUGAUUGGUCUUCACCAAGCUUAUCAAUUGGACUUCACAUUGCUAUUGGAGAAAUGAAUUGGAAUCUAUGUGACUAUCCUCUUCUCCAACAUAGCAAAGGUAUCAUUGUAUUGUGCAUGAUCAUUUCAUCCCGUACUAGUAUGCGGUUAGUGCAUAUAGUACAUGCUUAUUAGAAUCAUGCAUUACAAAUGAAAUAUUUUAAAUUCAUAAGCCUACCACUAUUGCUUGAAUGAUUAAUUGAUCUAGUGGUAUGCAUAUGAGUUUGUUCAUGAGCUAGUGAACCCAAGUACUUGAUCUAUUUUGGAUUGUUAACAAGUGACAAGUACAACAUUGGCAAGAUAACCCUUAAUUAGAGGUGUGAAAAAGCUUGUCAUUGGUUCAAAUCGGACUUGGCAGCUUAGGCAAAUCAACAUAGUUCAAGUCUACAAUUAGAAGCUCAUGUGAUUAGAGUACAAGAACAAGACAACAAUGCAAAUGGAUAUCUAGACUUAAAUGUUUCUUCAAGUGGCAUCCAACAAUUGGUACUCAUGAUGAUGAUAGCAAAUGUUCAAUAUUGCAAACAAGUGGUUCCAUACUAGAAGAUCUUUAAUUGGUAGAAGACUUCCAUUUGGUAUCGGACAAGAUCUUUCAAGUGAUAUCACAUUUAUACAUAUGGUAUCAAUCAUACAAGAAGAUGAUUCCACAAGCGAUCCUCAACUUUAAGUGAUCACCAAGCAAAGAAAGUUCCCUCACCAACAAGAUUGACAAGUGAAUGACCCAUGCUAUGACAUAGGGGGAGGUGCCCCACCUAUUGGUAUCAAGGUCAAAGAUCCCAUAUGGUAUCUCAAGAGCAAUUCAAGUAAUGUCAUUCCAACACAUAUGGUGAUGUCCAUCAAAAAUGCAAAAUUCAAGUCUCAACCAUCUACCCCAUAUGCAAUCCUUUGUCACAAUGAGAUGCACACCUUUUCAAUUAGUAUCAAGUGAUUUAAUUGGUAUCACAUACCUUUUAUGAAAAUUGAUGACAAAGUGGGAGAGAUUGGUACAAAGAUAUGAAAUAUAGGAAGUUGGUUUGUACAUGGAUAUGGACAAAGAGGGAGCAACAUUAAGAUGGAUCAAGAAGGAUCAAAAUUCUUGGAUAAGAGAAGCACACAUGUAGGGGGAGCAAGCUCAUGAACCUUGUUUGUUUGCAUUUGAUAUGUGCAUAUUCAUGUGCUUGAUUGCAUUGCAUAAGUUUUUAAAUUCAAUAUGCAUGUUUGUGUGGUAUAUGCUUGUUAUAGAACUUGAUUGAUAAUAUGACAACUAGCAUGCAUAGGUUGGUAUCUAGACUUGUGUUUAUUAAGUAAAAACUAGACCCUUGCUUAUAAUGUUGAUCUCACAGGGUUUCUUAGUGUUUUUGUUGUCUAGCUACUCAUGGUGCUAAGGAUGGUGUACAAUGGCUACUUCAAAUGAUAUAAAAAAUAGUAUCGAGCUACAAAGGUUUAUUCUAUACACCUUAGCACUUAGUCGGGCUUUAUGGUGCUUAUCCAAAUCUUGACAUAGAGCUUAAAUGUUGGAUAAGUAGCAUAAAAUCCAAAAUCAAGUUAGCAAUUUACACUUGUGUGAACUGCUAGCUUGAAAAAGCUUUAAUUUCCAUAUCUUUGUAGAGUUGUCAUCAAUUACCAAAAAGGGGGAGAUUGAAAGGACUUUGUUUGGUUUUGGUAAUUGAGUGACAACUUAGGUGGACUAAUAGUAUUUAUGUAAGAUAUACAGGAGAUUAGUCCACAGGUGGAUAUGUGAUGAUAAAGGAACUCAUUGCAUAUGAGACAUGACAUGGAGUCAUGUGACCAAGGUGGAGAAGAUCAAGAUGAGGCUUGGCUCGAUGGACUAGUUGCAAGUGUGAAGGGCAAGUCAGAGGCUUUGAAGCGAGGGACCGCGUGUGACGGUGAAGCUUGAGCAAGACUUGGCGCCGAUGGACCAAGGCAAUGGUGAAGAGCAAGUGAGGUCAAGAUCGAUGAACCAAUACGGUCAUGUGAUGAUAUAAAGUGGAUCAUAUCAUUUGUGAUUGGUUGGUGCAUGUGUUGCAUCAACAUCGAAGGAGAUGGAAUGAAAUACGCAAGGCAAAGGUAUAACCUAUAGGGCAUUUCAUUUCACCGGUCUAAGUUGAGUAGAGAAGUGCUUGAUCGGAUUUAGGAUAGAUAACCGUACUAUAAAGAGGGGAAAUCUUUAAUUGCAAUGGUUAUCUAGUGCCACUAAGUGUGAGUCUCUUUUGCAUAUGCAUUGCGCUUAGUGACGUGGUGAGAAUACUUGAGAAAACCCUAACAAUUAUUUGUGAAAAUGCUAACUUAAGUGCUCAAUUGUUUUUGGUACUUCGUGGGAAAUUUAGCACCUUAAAAAGGGGUUUUGAGUUGGAAAACCGAGCUAGUAGGCAUGCCCAAACAGCAAGGGGU